AAACUGGGUCUAAUACCGGAUAUGACUCCUCAUCGCAUGGUGGGGGGUGGAAAGCUUUUUGUGGUUUUGGAUGGACUCGCGGCCUAUCAGCUUGUUGGUGAGGUAAUGGCUCACCAAGGCGACGACGGGUAGCCGGCCUGAGAGGGUGACCGGCCACACUGGGACUGAGACACGGCCCAGACUCCUACGGGAGGCAGCAGUGGGGAAUAUUGCACAAUGGGCGAAAGCCUGAUGCAGCGACGCCGCGUGAGGGAUGACGGCCUUCGGGUUGUAAACCUCUUUCAGUAGGGAAGAAGCGAAAGUGACGGUACCUGCAGAAGAAGCGCCGGCUAACUACGUGCCAGCAGCCGCGGUAAUACGUAGGGCGCAAGCGUUAUCCGGAAUUAUUGGGCGUAAAGAGCUCGUAGGCGGUUUGUCGCGUCUGCUGUGAAAGACCGGGGCUCAACCCCGGUUCUGCAGUGGGUACGGGCAGACUAGAGUGAUGUAGGGGAGACUGGAAUUCCUGGUGUAGCGGUGAAAUGCGCAGAUAUCAGGAGGAACACCGAUGGCGAAGGCAGGUCUCUGGGCAUUAACUGACGCUGAGGAGCGAAAGCAUGGGGAGCGAACAGGAUUAGAUACCCUGGUAGUCCAUGCCGUAAACGUUGGGCACUAGGUGUGGGGGACAUUCCACGUUUUCC
rnacentral:rRNA from 1 species